UUUUUACGGAGAGUUUGAUCCUGGCUCAGGACGAACGCUGGCGGCGUGCUUAACACAUGCAAGUCGAACGAUGAUGCCCAGCUUGCUGGGUGGAUUAGUGGCGAACGGGUGAGUAACACGUGAGUAACCUGCCCCUGACUCUGGGAUAAGCGUUGGAAACGACGUCUAAUACUGGAUAUGAUCACCGGCCGCAUGGUCUGGUGGUGGAAAGAUUUUUUGGUUGGGGAUGGACUCGCGGCCUAUCAGCUUGUUGGUGAGGUAAUGGCUCACCAAGGCGACGACGGGUAGCCGGCCUGAGAGGGUGACCGGCCACACUGGGACUGAGACACGGCCCAGACUCCUACGGGAGGCAGCAGUGGGGAAUAUUGCACAAUGGGCGAAAGCCUGAUGCAGCAACGCCGCGUGAGGGAUGACGGCCUUCGGGUUGUAAACCUCUUUUAGUAGGGAAGAAGCGA
rnacentral:rRNA from 1 species